rnacentral:rRNA from 1 species
GAUGAACGCUGGCGGCGUGCCUAAUACAUGCAAGUCGAGCGAACAGACGAGGAGCUUGCUCCUCUGACGUUAGCGGCGGACGGGUGAGUAACACGUGGAUAACCUACCUAUAAGACUGGGAUAACUUCGGGAAACCGGAGCUAAUACCGGAUAAUAUAUUGAACCGCAUGGUUCAAUAGUGAAAGACGGUUUUGCUGUCACUUAUAGAUGGAUCCGCGCCGCAUUAGCUAGUUGGUAAGGUAACGGCUUACCAAGGCAACGAUGCGUAGCCGACCUGAGAGGGUAAUCGGCAACACUGGAACUGGGACACGGUCCAGACUACUACGGGAGGCAGCAGUAGGGAAUCUUCCGCAAAGGGCGAAAGCCUGACGGAGCAACGCCGCGUGAGUGAUGAAGGUCUUCGGAUCGUAAAACUCUGUUAGUAGGGAAGAACAAAUGUGUAAGUAACUAUGCACGUCUUGACGGUACCUAAUCAGAAAGCCACGGCUAACUACGUG